rnacentral:lncRNA from 1 species
GUGGGGCAGAGGGCAGCCUGAGCAUCUGCAAACAGAGUGGCUCACAGAGAGGACACCUGCCCUGAGGACACCUGCAGGAGAUCCCUACAGAGGAAGGGCUAGACCAGGCUCCAUCCAGCAAAUACAAACUCAUCUGGAAGCAUUAAAACAAUGGAAGCAGGUGAGAGCAGAGAGAUCCCGAGCGCAGGUGAGGUGGGGUCCCUGAGGCGGGCUCAAAAGCUGCUUCCCAAGGCAGGGGGGCCCCUAUGUGCCCUCUGAGAGCACAGCCUGCAGACAGAGUCCAGACGUCUCAGGCAGGCCUUUGAGGCCUUCGUGUCAAAGCCCAGUUCUACCACAUCCUAGGGUUAUACUUUCGGCCUGGUGGGAGUCGCUGGUCCCCAGUUGACAGUGUCAUUGGGAAAGUCCAGUGGUAGACCCCGGCACAGCAGGCGCUCAGCAGUGCAGCAGUAUCAUUGCUUAGCCCCACCUCCCUUUCCAGACUCUGCACCCCUCCUCAGGCUCAGAGCAAGGGCCUGCCCCUGCCCCUCCACCGCCCCCUCCUCACUUACCCCUGCGACUCUGCCCAAGCAAGACCUCCCCCUGGAAUUCAUUCAUUUAUCAACUCAUUAUGCAGCCAGCCAGCCAUCGUUUCUUUUUUAUCCACUUUUUCUGAGGGCCUGCUGUGCGCCAGCUGCUGGAGACAUGAAGACAUCGAAGACCCCAGGCCUUGACCUCCAAGAGCCCCCAGUUUGGUGGAAGAAACAAACAAGGAGACUGCAAAACACACCCUGUGAUGGGGAGGGUUGAGGUGGCCAGUGGGAGAGGCGAGCUGGCAGGGCUCAGUGGUGAGGUGAAGGUGUGGGAGCAGGGACACAGCAUGAAGGAGUAGAUGGCCAGGUUGAGCUUUGCAGGCUCCAGGGGGAGGAUAAAGAGCUGACACCUGGAACGUGCUUGGAACAGCAGGUGCUCGGUCAGUGCAGCCACGACCAUCCCGUCCUGCAUCCCCACCAUGAACUUGGACCUUCUGGAAGGACCUUGCUUAUCCCAGCAUCCACACAUCCUUGACCAGACCUGGUCAACAUUUGCUUACCUCUGCCAGCCUCCUCUCACCCAUUCCUGCAUGUGCCGCACCAAUCUGUGUGGAGCGCCCACUCCAGCCAGGCCCUGCUCUAUCAGCAAACUCAGCAGGCAGAACCCCUGCCCCAUGGCGCUGCUUCAGCGUGGUGAGACAGGAACCGCCUGGCUGCUGGGAUGAGAAGAGACUGGAGAGAGACCACGAUGGAAGCCAGGAGGCCAACGAGGAGUUGGGGUAGUCCUCCAGGGAGACAUGAUGUGGCUUCAGCCCCAGUGGUGAUGGCGGGGUAGAGCCAGCAGGGUUCUGAACUGAGUGGAUGUGAAAUGAGGGAAAGAGGGAUGCUGCGGUCGGCAGAAUCGUGCCUCCCGCAAAGAUGCCCCAUCCUAACCCGUCACCCUUGACAGUGAGACCUCCACCACAAAGGGGACUUUGCAGGCAUGAAGGUUAAGGACCCUGAGAGGAGGAGAUGGCCCUGGACUGUCUGGCGGGCCCAGCAUCAUCACAAGGGUGCUUAUAAGUGGAGGAGGAGGCAGGGGGAGCCGAGCAGAUGUGAGGAUAGAAGCAGAGGUCGGAGGGACGUGCUGUUGGCUUGAGAUGGAGGAGGACCUAUGAGCCAAGGAGCAUGGGCGGCCUCUGGAAGCCAGAAAGGGCAAGGCCUCUUCCCGGAGCCUCCAGCAGAACCCAGCCCCGCUGCCACCUCGACUGCAGAACGGUGACACCGUGUCCGAUUCCCGACCUCCAGAACCGUGAGAUAACACGUGUGCUGUUUUAAGCCACUGCAAUUGUGGUAUUUGUCACAGCAGCCAUAGGAAACUGUACGGGGGUUAAAGAGGACCUGCUGACCUCUGAGCUCACACUGAAGCCUCCUGGAAUGCUGUGGGUUGUGAGCUGGGAUGAGAACGCAGCAUGGAGAUGAAAGACGCAUCCACCCAGGAAGGCCCACUGGCAUCGCAAUCUCAGGGAAGAUUCCCAGGCUGAAAAAAGAGAAAGUGGCUGGGGUGGCACUGAAUGCCCCACGUCAAAGAAAUGGCACCCAAGCCGUCCGUCAGUCCCUCACCUGCCACACAGACAGCACCUUGGACCCAGCAAGAUGUCACUCACCACAUUGAUGCUGUCCACAGGCAUCGCCUUGCUUUUGCAGCUCUGUGUGAGAUUUGUCAGCUUGGUUUGGGUCUGGGGCUGUAUUAGAGCUGUCAGCCUAGGAGCCUACCCUAGUUUUGUGUCUGCACUAUUUCCAAAGCACUGGAAUAAAAGGCAUUUUAACCAA